GAUGAACGCUGGCGGCGUGCUUAACACAUGCAAGUCGAACGAAGCACUUUUGAUUGAUUCUUCGGAUGAAAGAGAUUGUGACUGAGUGGCGGACGGGUGAGUAACGCGUGGGUAACCUGCCUCAUACAGGGGGAUAACAGUUAGAAAUGACUGCUAAUACCGCAUAAGCGCACGGUAUCGCAUGAUACAGUGUGAAAAGCCGAGACGGUAUGAGAUGGACCCGCGUCUGAUUAGGUAGUUGGUGAGGUAACGGCCCACCAAGCCGACGAUCAGUAGCCGACCUGAGAGGGUGACCGGCCACAUUGGGACUGAGACACGGCCCAA
rnacentral:rRNA from 1 species